CUGGGAGAGUGAGGGAGGAGAAGGAGAGAGGACGGAAGAAGAGGAGGAAGAAGUCAUGAAGGACCAGAACCACAUGGCCAGGAGAAACUGCAGGCAGGCUCCACCAUACCUGGCUUCUAUGACUCAAGAGUCAAGACACAGAACUACUCAGUCAACACGGUGCUGAGACUCAAGUCCUCGCCCUUGAAAGCCUGUCUCUCCAGCCCUGCCAUGGCACUGAGCACAUCCCAGGCUCUCUCCAGACUUUACACUUCAGAACUUGAAGCCUGAUAACAGAGGAACACGCUCUGGGACUGGAUGGAGUUACUCACAAGCAGCUAUCGUGAGGAAGGCAGAGAAGCAGUCAUCCAGCCCUGGAGGCGUCUGGGAAGGUCGUUGCUUUUAGUGCCAGUCUUCUGUUCAUGUUAAGAAUCAAACUUGCAGCCUUACCCAUGCUAGGUAAGCAUUCUAUCACUGGGCUAUAACCCCUGCCCUCCAUUUCCUGUAUUUUUGUUUACCACGGUAGAAAAUAUCAGCAGUGGUCUCCACCACUAAUACCUUUCAGUUGUAACUCGAUUCUAGUCAAAGUAAACAAAGAAAAUAAAACAAACACAGAGAAGUUAUUUAAAAUAUUUAUUUUCUCAACAAUGUUUUCUUGUCUUCCUUCAGUAUGGCUUGGAGGAAGACGGUUAUUUAAAAACCAGAGUUUCAUGCUCCGGAAUACCGUAUUUCCCUUUAUGUUCAUUGAAGAGUUUCCUUAGCUCCUCCAUGUACGUCUGAUGCAGCUCAUCAAUCUGCUCUGGGGUCGGGUGCAGAGUCUUCUGAACAGGGAUGGGGCGGCCAACUGUGGAAAACAGAGCUCGAGUCAUCCCUGAGGAACAGCCACCACUCCACCGCAAGCCCGGGUCUCCCGUGGGCAGCUGAGCGCUGGGCUGCCAAUCGGCUUCCCUCCAGCCCACUGGCUCCAGUCCUCUCCUCAGCUCACUGGCUGCCUAUCUCGGUCACACCAUCCCACUUGACAACAAAUAAAAGAGUUUCCCUUCUCAGCAGACACUGAGCUGUCGUUCUGAUGGUUUGACUUCUGAGUCAAACGAGCUGCUGUGCCAACCGCAGCUGUGCGCAGAGUAGGCGUCGCUGCGAGCCUCGUCACCCUCAUUCUCCUCUGGGCACAGCUGACAGCAAGCCCACAGGGUUCUUAUUGUGACCGACUGUGAAAUGCCCAGGUCACGUGACAUCCCUCUAUUAUGACUUUUUUUUAUAUCUUUUGAAACAAUUGAAAAUGUCGCUUAUCUUUACAGCGAAGCCGUUGUGCGAGAAAGUCAUAUAAUCGCAAAACUGAAAGCAACCGCAGCUCAUUAGGAAAACGGUUACAUAAGCUGAGCGACAUUUCAGUUAUUCACUGGAAUCUUAGACAGCUAUCUUUUAAAAAGAAAUAACAAAUAAAGUGGCACACACGAUGUCUAAAAUGUCCAAGAAAAGUUGCAAAAUGAGGCGGGAUCCUAUCUACGAAAAAAUAUAUAUUUCUAGGAGCACCAGUAUUUUCAGUGUACAGGAAAAAUCUGGAAAGAUCAACAUUUUCCUCUGGGGGCAGGGUCAGGGAUGGGGAAACGGCCACAUUCAUUUUAUCUAUACCACCUGAAUAUUUCACAAAGGAAACAAAGCAUCUGUUUUAUCUGUAUAAUUAAAAAAAUUCUGAUUGGUUGUAAA